UGCAUUUAAGUUUUAACUGAAAAUUGUUUUUAAAUAUUUUGUAUUAAGAAUAAAGUUGUUCAGAUAAUUAUUGUUUGAUUGUUUCCGUUACUGACUUAUUCAGUAUUUUCCAAGUACUAGUUAUCAUAUAAACAUUUUCGUUCUAAUUAUGGUGUGUAGUAGUGACUUUAUUUACUACAAUUAUACGCAUAUUUAACUGACUACAAUAUUUUCAGAUUGCAAUACAGCAGACAAUGAAAGCCAUGGUGAGACAUGAAUUCGCGAUUCUAUCAGUUUGGAAAAUAUAAACAUCCUACGAUGACAAUGGACUAGAAGAUACUGAUAAUAAUAAUUGUUUUAUUCAACAUGGCAAUACAGCAGAUGACUCAAGGAAUGCUGAGACAUUUAUUCAUAUGCAUACAACUUUGGAAAAGUAUGAACAUCCAAUGUUGAAAAUGAACUAAAAGAUACUGAUUAUAAAGAAUUAAUGUAAUAUUGCAAUACAGCAGACAAUGAAAGCCAUGGUGAGACAUGAAUUCGCGAUUCUAUCAGUUUGGAAAAUAUAAACAUCCUACGAUGACAAUGGACUAGAAGAUACUGAUAAUAAUAAUUGUUUUAUUCAACAUGGCAAUACAGCAGAUGACUCAAGGAAUGCUGAGACAUUUAUUCAUAUGCAUACAACUUUGGAAAAGUAUGAACAUCCAAUGUUGAAAAUGAACUAAAAGAUACUGAUUAUAAAGAAUUAAUGUAAUAUUGCAAUACAGCAGACAAUGAAAGCCAUGGUGAGACAUGAAUUCGCGAUUCUAUCAGUUUGGAAAAUAUAAACAUCCUACGAUGACAAUGGACUAGAAGAUACUGAUAAUAAUAAUUGUUUUAUUCAACAUGGCAAUACAGCAGAUGACUCAAGGAAUGCUGAGACAUUUAUUCAUAUGCAUACAACUUUGGAAAAGUAUGAACAUCCAAUGUUGAAAAUGAACUAAAAGAUACUGAUUAUAAAGAAUUAAUGCAAUAUGGAAAUACAGCAGGUCACUCAAGGGAUGCUGAAACAUUAAUUUCUAUUCAUACAACUUUGAGAAAGUAUGAACAUCCAAUUUUGAAAAUGAACUAACAAAUACUGUUUAUAUUGAAUUUAUGCAAUUUACAUUUAAUGGUUAUUGAAUAUAAUUUAUAGAAUAUUAAUUGUAGUGAUACAAUAGAGAUUUGUUAACAAAGUGAA